rnacentral:rRNA from 1 species
CCUACGGGGGGCUGCAGUGGGGAAUAUUGGUCAAUGGACGAGAGUCUGAACCAGCCAAGUAGCGUGAAGGAUGACUGCCCUAUGGGUUUUAAACUUCUUUUAUAAAGGAAUAAAACGAGGCACGUGUGCCUUUUUGCAUGUACUUUAUGAAUAAGGAUCGGCUAACUACGUGCCAGCAGCCGCGGUAAUACGGAGGCUCCGAGCGUUAUCCGGAUUUAGUGGGUUUAAAGGGAGCGUAGGUGGGUUGUUAAGUCAGAUGUGAAAGUUUGCGGCUCAACCGUAAAAUUGCAAUUGAUACUGGGUGUCUUGAGUACAGGUGAGGCAGGCGGAAUUCGCGGUGUAGCGGUGAAAUGCGUAGAUAUUGCGAGGAACCCCAGUGGCGAAGGCAGCUUGCUAAACUGUGACUGACAUUGAUGCGCGAAAGCGUGGGGAGCAAACAGGAUUAGAUACCCUUGUAGUC